CACACGGCGCUUCAAGCAGUUAGUAGAGCGCCUCCUGCAGUUCAUAUCCAGCCGCCUGUUUCCUGCAGAACCAGAUGAACUUCCUCCUCUGGCCAAAUGUUCCUGGUGGAUCCCGUCUGCCACCAAAGUGCUCAGCCUGUUCAAUGCAGCCAACAGCGUCUCCUCUCCUCCCAUCAUGCCUUUCACCGACUUCUACAACAUCACCCUGGAGCACAUAGACUUCAUGGAGGACUACAGGACCUGGCAGAACUACGGCAACUCCAACAGAUUUUCCUUCUGUCAGUUUCCCUUCAUCCUGUCGACGGUGGUGAAGAAAUCCAUCAUCCAGAAAGACUCGGAGCAACAGAUGAUCAGUCAGGCCAGG